AGCGUCAUAGAGGGUGAGAAUCCCGUCCAUGGCACGGACUACUAAUGCUUUGUGAUAUGCUCUCAAAGAGUCGAGUUGUUUGGGAAUGCAGCUCAAAAUGGGUGGUAAAUUCCAUCUAAAGCUAAAUAUUGGCGAGAGACCGAUAGCGAACAAGUACCGUGAGGGAAAGAUGAAAAGCACUUUGGAAAGAGAGUUAAACAGUACGUGAAAUUGUUGAAAGGGAAACGCUUGAAGUCAGUCGCGUUGUUGAGACUCAGCCUUGCUUCUGCUUGGUGUACUUCUCAGUUAACGGGUCAACAUCAAUUUUGGUCGGUGGAUAAAGGGCGAGGGAAUGUGACAUCUUCGGAUGUGUUAUAGCCCUUGUCUGUAUACACUGGCUGGGAUUGAGGACUGCAGCACGCCUUAUUGGCCGGGGUUCGCCCACGUAACGUGCUUAGGAUGUUGGCAUAAUGGCUUUAAGCGACCCGUCUUGAAACACGGACCAAGGAGUCUAACAUGCUUGCGAGUAUUAGAGUGGAAAACUCUUAUGCGUAAUGAAAGUGAAAGUUGGGACCCUUCACUGGGGCACCGACGCCCGGCCCUGAAGUUUACUGACGGUGCCGCGGUAGAGCACGUAUGUUGGGACCCGAAAGAUGGUGAACUAUGCCUGAAUAGGGUGAAGCCAGGGGAAACUCUGGUGGAGGCUCGUAGCGAUUCUGACGUGCAAAUCGAUCGUCAAAUUUGGG
rnacentral:rRNA from 1 species